UUAUUACCAAUUGCAGAUACAAUGAAUUGUUCCGUUGUUAUAUUUCCCCAACUAGUCUGUCAUGGAGUUAGUGGCAAGUGUUGCUCUAAGUGUUGGUUCGACCACAAACAUAAGAGUUGAAGACGACGCCAAUGGCUUUUCUGUGGACGCAAUUUAGUUUUCACAAAUCAUGGAAUAACUACAGCAAGCCAAAACAACAACAACAAUCUUCCAUUUUGUGUAAAGACUGGUUCUCUCAAGUGAUGUGCAAAUUUCGUUCUCUGUUCCAAUGCAAAAUAGUGCCUCUCCACUAGUUGUGAUGGGACAUGAAGUUAAUUGGACUGUGUCUAUAUAUAUGCUCAUGCAGCUUAACAAUUACUUUGUGGCCAAAUCCGCCGGGGGAAUGGUCGAAUGAUUUCUCAGGUUUUGAGAAUUCACUGAAGAUGUGUUGUACUUCAUAUGUACUGUGACACAUAUCUUUUACACGUUAUUUCCUUGUGUCCUUAA